ACGGAAGGCAGCAGUGAGGAAUAUUGGACAAUGGAUGGAAGUCUGAUCCAGCCAUGCCGCGUGAGGAUAGAUGCCCUACGGGUUUUGAACUUCUUUUGUACGGGGGCAAUAAGGGCCACGCGUGGCCCGAUGAGAGUACCGUACGAAUAAGCAUCGGCUAACUCCGUGCCAGCAGCCGCGGUAAUACGGAGGAUGCGAGCGUUAUCCGGAUUUAUUGGGUUUAAAGGGUGCGUAGGCGGCUUGCCAAGUCGGCGGUGAAAUCCGGGCGCCCAACGCCGGAACUGCCGUUGAAACUGGCGGGCUCGAAUGGUGCCGCCGCAUGCGGAAUGUGUGAAGUAGCGGUGAAAUGCAUAGAUAUCACACAGAACGCCGAUUGUGGAAACAGCAUGCGAGACACAGAUUGACGCUGAGGCACGAAAGUGUGGGGAUCAAACAGGAUUAGAUACCCUGGUA
rnacentral:rRNA from 1 species